rnacentral:rRNA from 1 species
UGGGGAAUAUUGGACAAUGGGCGGAAGCCUCAUCCAGCCAUGCCGCGUGUGUGAAGAAGGCCUUUUGGUUGUAAAGCACUUUAAGCGAGGAGGAGGCUACUUGGAUUAAUACUCUAGGAUAGUGGACGUUACUCGCAGAAUAAGCACCGGCUAACUCUGUGCCAGCAGCCGCGGUAAUACAGAGGGUGCGAGCGUUAAUCGGAUUUACUGGGCGUAAAGCGUGCGUAGGCGGCUUCUUAAGUCGGAUGUGAAAUCCCUGAGCUUAACUUAGGAAUUGCAUUCGAUACUGGGAAGCUAGAGUAUGGGAGAGGAUGGUAGAAUUCCAGGUGUAGCGGUGAAAUGCGUAGAGAUCUGGAGGAAUACCGAUGGCGAAGGCAGCCAUCUGGCCUAAUACUGACGCUGAGGUACGAAAGCAUGGGGAGCAAACAGG